rnacentral:pre_miRNA from 1 species
ACUCCAACAAGUGAAGCUUGCUGUCAAGUUUCAUUAGUAAGUACUCACAUGUUGGAAUCU